UAAGGAAUAUUGGUCAAUGGAGGCAACUCUGAACCAGCCAUGCCGCGUGCAGGAUUAAGGCGCUCUGCGUUGUAAACUGCUUUUGCCUGGGGAUAAACCUCUUCAUUUAUGGGGAGCUGAAGGUACCAGGUGAAUAAGCACCGGCUAACUCCGUGCCAGCAGCCGCGGUAAUACGGAGGGUGCAAGCGUUAUCCGGAUUUACUGGGUAUAAAGGGUGCGUAGGCGGUCGCAUAAGUCAGUGGUUAAAGGC
rnacentral:rRNA from 1 species